ensembl:lncRNA
GUUUCAGAGAGUUUAAAUACAUCAGGGUGGGCAGGUUUUAUCCAUAUAUCCACAGAAUCAUACUUCAGCAGCAGACUUAUUACAUUCACAUGCAGAAACUACAGGCCGCUCUGACUACUUCAUUGGACAGAAUGUCAGGACCUGGGUCAGAUCGCACAUUUCCAGACCGUAGAAGCAGCAAGAUAAUGGCCAGUCUAGAUGGAGGGUUCCAACAUGUGGAUUUAUAGACAGCACUUGAAGGACAAUCCAGAGUCACCAGAAUCUUUAACGCCACAACAUUCAGGAGAUGUGGAAAGUCCAGAGACAUGGUUCAGUACCAAGAAAACAGUCCUGACAUGUCAGAGCAACAGUCCCAUUUCUCCCAUGUUGUUUGGGAGAAAUGUGCAUAGAUCUCACGUGCAUUUAUGGAGCAAGCGUGUGGUUUCUCCCAAAACUCGAGGGAGAAACAGUCAAUAUAUUUCCUCAUUCACAGAGCAGGCGUGUGGUUUCUCCUUUGAACAACAGCAACAUGAUCCUUUAUUGCCUCAUCUUUGAUCAGAGAGAAACACAGCACUAAGCAAUCUAAGACAUGUAGCCAACACAAUGCUGAACCCUCAUUAAAUGAGCUAAAAACAAUCCUAAAUAAUAAUACAAACAUAGUAACAAUCACUAAUCAAAUAGUCCAACAGCAGAUCAGUCAACAAGUCAUAAAUGUGUGAUGUAGGAGAGCAAAGCUACGGGGAGAGAGUGGAGAGGGCACCUGUACCAGACUGGGAGAGACAGACCAGAGCAGGAGAGGACACCUGUACCAGACUGGGAGAGACAGACCAGAGCAGGAGAGGACACCUGUACCAGACUGGGAGAGACAGACCAGAGCAGGAGAGGACACCUGUACCAGACUAAAAAGUUGGGACACACCUGAUACACCACUAAGCUACCCUGCCGCCCCGAGACUGGAACACACUUUCCCUUUCAGGUCCACAGGGGUUUACUGCCCCCUGCUGGAGACUGGAGCACACUGCAGUCCCUUUCAGGUCCAUAGGGGUUUACUGCCCCCUGCUGGAGACUGGAGCACACUGCAGUCCCUUUCAGGUCCAUAGGGUUUUACUGCCCCCUGCUGGAGACUGGAACACACUGCAGUCCCUUUCAGGUCCAUAGGGUUUUACUGCCCCCUGCUGGAGACUGGAGCACACUGCAGUCCCUUUCAGGUCCAUAGGGUUUUACUGCCCCCUGCUGGAGACUGGAG